rnacentral:rRNA from 1 species
CACGUAGGGGGCAAGCGUUGUCCGGAUUUAUUGGGCGUAAAGAGCUCGUAGGCGGUUCGGUAAGUCGGGUGUGAAACCUCCAGGCUCAACCUGGAGUCGCCACUCGAUACUGCUGUGACUAGAGUCCGGUAGGGGAGCGUGGAAUUCCUGGUGUAGCGGUGAAAUGCGCAGAUAUCAGGAGGAACACCGAUGGCGAAGGCAGGUCUCUGGGCCACUACUGACGCUGAGAAGCGAAAGCAUGGGGAGCGAACAGG